GCCGCAUGCAGGAAGACGGCCCUAUGGGUUGUAAACUGCUUUUAUAUAGGAAGAAACCUUUCCACGUGUGGAAAGCUGACGGUACUAUAAGAAUAAGCACCGGCUAACUCCGUGCCAGCAGCCGCGGUAAUAAUCACU
rnacentral:rRNA from 1 species